UUUUGCUGUUUAAAUCAUUUGUUUUAAACAAAACCAUGUUUGAUUAAUUUAAAUGUUUAAAACAUGUUUUAAACUUAAUGUUUAAAACAUGUCAACCCUGAGUAAAAUCAAGUGUGCAGUCCGAAAUUGUUCAAAUAAUAGGGCCUGCUCAUAACCAUAAUGUAUUUCUAUUUUAGAUUCUGAGUGAAGCAAAGGACCUUAUGGUUUAGCAAUGUUGUUUUCAACAAAAUUAUUUGUUUUUCUGUCAACAGUUUUUCGUAUAGAAAUAUUUGUCCAAAAGUUUCAUCCAGCAACUUAAUAUAUGUUAUUACAUAUUCGAUUUGUUUUACCGAAAAUUAUUUAUCCGUUUUUCUUUAUUUAUGUUGAUUUGAUGUGUAACGUUAUUAUUGAACGCUUACACACAGCUGUGAAACGAAGAAAACAUAAUACGUUUAAAAUAUAGUUUGUUUUUUUAUCAGCGUUAAGUACGUUCAAUACGAUUUGUUUUGCCAAACGAUAUAGGGAGAUAGCUGUUGUUUGAUUUAUUUAUACUUUUUUUGAAUGGAAAGGAAUUGAAUUCAAAGGGUCUUCGGUACUAACGAUACUGUUCAAAACGUUCACAGCUAUAAAAUAACGAGUACUAGUUAUGAGUGUUACAACAUCAGUCGUUACACUUGGACGAAAGGAAAUUAAAACUUUUGUGAUGUAAUGUAAAUAAGAAAACCCGAUUGAUUUGAUGUGAAAUUCUGUAAUGAUAUUAUAAAAUGCACACACAGCUAUAAAAUAAUGAAAAAAAACAUGGGAGAUGUCUGUUGUAUGUUUUCAUUAAACAUUUUCUUUGUUAAGGAAUAAUGCAGUUACUACUUCGGUACUAAUGAUUAACUAAUAAAAACGAACACAACUAUAAACUAAAGAAAACAUGGGAGAGAGCUGUUGAAUGUUUUCAUUGCACUUUAUUCUUUGGAAUGGAAUAGAAUUCAACGUGUUGGUGCUAAUGAUAAUAUUCAAAUCAAACCCACCUAUAAAAUAAAGAAAACUUGUGGGUUGCAGAUUAAUGAAUUAACGAAUGCUCAAACACCAGUGUAGUACUGUUGUACCCAAGAGCUUGGUUAUUAUUACACUUUUCUCCUAAUAUUAUAAGAAAAAUCUUGGUAUAGUUUAUUUAUUUAAACCGUAUCAUACUGAAACGUUUUAUAUAAUGAUAA